rnacentral:rRNA from 1 species
CCUACGGGACGCAGCAGUCGGGAAUAUUGCACAAUGGAGGAAACUCUGAUGCAGUGACACCGCGUAUAGGAAGAAGGUUUUUGGAUUGUAAACUAUUUUAGACAGGGAAGAAAAAAGACAGUACCUGUAGAAUAAGCUCCGGCUAACUACGUGCCAGCAGCCGCGGUAAUACGUAGGGGGCAAGCGUUAUCCGGAUUCACUGGGUGUAAAGGGAGCGUAGACGGCCAUGCAAGCCUGGAGUGAAAGCCCGGGGACCAAACCCGGGAAUGCUCUGGGAACUGUGGGGAUGGAGUGCGGGAGGGGGG